rnacentral:rRNA from 1 species
AUUGAACGCUGGCGGCAGGCCUAACACAUGCAAGUCGAGCGGGGUUUUCGGACCUAGCGGCGGACGGGUGAGUAAUGCGUAGGAAGCUGCCCGAUAGAGGGGGAUACCAGUUGGAAACGACUGUUAAUACCGCAUAAUGUCUACGGACCAAAGUGUGGGACCUUCGGGGCAGCUGCUAUCGGAUGUGCAGACGUGGGAUUAGCUAGUUGGUGAGGUAAUGGCUCACCAAGGCGACGAUCUCUAGCUGGUUUGAGAGGAUGAUCAGCCACACUGGAACUGAGACACGGUCCAGACUCCUACGGGAGGCAGCAGUGGGGAAUAUUGGACAAUGGGCGCAAGCCUGAUCCAGCCAUGCCGCGUGUGUGAAGAAGGCCUUCGGGUUGUAAAGCACUUUCAGCGAGGAGGAAGGGUGGUGUGUUAAUAGCACAUCAUUUUGACGUUACUCGCAGAAGAAGCACCGGCUAACUCUGUGCCAGCCGCCGCGGUAACAC